rnacentral:rRNA from 1 species
UAAUACGUAGGGUGCGAGCGUUAAUCGGAAUUACUGGGCGUAAAGCGUGCGCAGGCGGUUUUGUAAGCCAGAUGUGAAAUCCCCGGGCUCAACCUGGGAAUGGCAUUUGGGACUGCAAGGCUGGAGUGUGGCAGAGGGGACUAGAAUUCCUGGUGUAGCAGUGAAAUGCGUAGAUAUCAGGAGGAAUACCGAUGGCGAAGGCAGGUCCCUGGGCUAACACUGACGCUCAUGCACGAAAGCGUGGGGAGCAAACAGGAUUAGAUACCCUGGUAGUCCACGCCCUAAACGAUGUCGACUGGUUGUUGGGGGUUUGACACUCUCAGUAACGAAGCUAACGCGUGAAGUCGACCGCCUGGGGAGUACGGCCGCAAGGUUAAAACUUAAAUGAAUUGACGG